AACGAACGCUGGCGGCAGGCCUAACACAUGCAAGUCGAACGAACCCUUCGGGGUGAGUGGCGCACGGGUGCGUAACACGUGGGAAUAUACCCUUCAGUACGGAACAACACAGAGAAAUUUGUGCUAAUACCGUAUAAUGACUCCGGUCCAAAGAUUUAUCGCUGAAGGAUUAGCCCGCGUCUGAUUAGAUAGUUGGUGAGGCAAGAGCUCACCAAGUCGACGAUCAGUAGCUGGUUUGAGAGGAUGAUCAGCCACACUGGAACUGAGACACGGUCCAG
rnacentral:rRNA from 1 species